AGAGAAAUAUAAUAUAAUUGUAAUUUAGUCCUUUGUAUGCACAGUAAUUAGACUUUAAUUAAAAUAUCAUGUUCUGUUAUUUUUUCUGCAGAUGCCUGCCUCAGUAGGUGCCCAAGAGAAGAGCAGAAGAAACUAAUGAAAAGGAGCAGGACUGUAUAGUGAAAGCACUUUCUGUCUGGAGAACUCUGGCUUUGCUUGCUGGAGAAGGCUGCAAAUGCAUAAUGAAUAAGGCAGGAUGCUGCAGAAAGACAUAAAAUGGUCUCAGAGGGGAUGCCUGAUGUCUUUGUGGAGAGCUAGGUUCUACAGCUUGCUUAUCUCUCUCCCAUAAACAGAAAAAUUGACCACAAAGUAGAUGAUUCUCAUUUUCUCUGUGUCCAAGAUUAUUUUAGAGACUGAACCUGUCUUCAGGGAAAGAAGAACCAACAAAGCAGAACAACCCACCCUCCUGCUGUAUCUCCAGCCCUGACACAAAAUCUGUUGUGUUGGAUUUUAUAUUGAAAUAACGACUGCCUCCAAAUCCAGGAGCAGCUGUGCUGAGGCUGAAGAGCUGCUGGAUGCCAAAAGCCUCUCUGGAGAGUGUCUCCAGAGCCUCUCUGUAAACUGUGGGUCCCCUCUGGAGUUGUCUGGGAGCUAACUGGAUUUCCCUCACCUGGACAAAUACAUUGUCUCUUGUUUGGGAUGGAGAGACUGCCUGAGCUCCUAUUCCUGAGCUUUAGGUAAAAAUCACGCCAAACUGAGGAUUCUUCUGCCACAUGUUGACAUAGCAGUAAAUUUUUGUUUUAUUUUUUUUUAACUGAAAAUGGUAUCAGGGAACUCCUGAUGACUGAAGGCAGAUCCCAGAAGAUCUCAGGCUAGCCUUCAGGAGGAAUCUCUGCUGGAAGCCAAGCACUGGGCAAGCAGUUAAUGUGCUUUAAGAACAAGCCCUUGAAAACCAUUUAGGCAUCAUGCAGUGUUGCCACAGCAUGAGGUCCUAGAUUUUUGUGAAAGGAGAAAGUAUAACUACACAGAAAAGUUUGGUAAAGGCACCUAGACCCAAGGCUGCUGUUGUGAACUUACUGAAAUUUGUUGGGGGAUGAUGAAAUGAAAUAGCAA
rnacentral:lncRNA from 1 species